rnacentral:rRNA from 1 species
CAGCCGCCGCGGUAAAACAGAGGGUGCGAGCGUUAAUCGGAUUUACUGGGCGUAAAGCGUGCGUAGGCGGCUUCUUAAGUCGGAUGUGAAAUCCCUGAGCUUAACUUAGGAAUUGCAUUCGAUACUGGGAAGCUAGAGUAUGGGAGAGGAUGGUAGAAUUCCAGGUGUAGCGGUGAAAUGCGUAGAGAUCUGGAGGAAUACCGAUGGCGAAGGCAGCCAUCUGGCCUAAUACUGACGCUGAGGUACGAAAGCAUGGGGAGCAAACAGGAUUAGAUACCCCGGUAGUCCCUGUCUCUUAUAC